UUGAAAAACAGUUUACUAUUGAUAACAAGGGCUGAACCGAGCCCCUGUGGGUAAAGUGUUUUCUGGCAGCAGGCUAGCACAGGUAUUCGAGGGAAGGCAAUUAAAGCUGAUAGCAGAUUUAGCCGAAUUCCAAAAUCAAGGCUUCAAAUAAACUUGGGCACGGCUGGCGGGAUCAAACUGGCUUGCUGGGGGACUUACAUUAUUGGUCCCCAUGUGCAGGUGCUAAGUCCAUAUAACUUGAGUCCAACGCCUAGGGAUCGUGACUAUCGCUCAAGCUAAAAGAACUAGAAUUUCAGAAGUACAUAGAAACCACGCCUUGUCGUACCAGCCAAAUUACGAUCGAUACACGAAUCCGGGAAUUUCAAAGAGCUGUGAAUCUGAAACUUUAAUAACAGAGAUUGAAUCAACAGAAAUGUGAAUAGAACCAGCAUGAAAAAUAGCGCAACGCGAACUUGUUGCUAUGAAUCAGUCGGUUGCUGCCUACAUGAAUGUUUUUUUCUAAUAAAGGGAUAUAGACCUACCUCAUCGGGUGGCCCAGAACGAUUCCAAAUUUAGAUUUACCAGCUGUUAGGUAGUUUAAAUGAGGCAGCUCUAAAGCGAUUUUCAGUUGAUCCACUGAAGCUUGGCUAACGUUCCACAAUUUGUGCCAGUAGCAAACUAUUUUGUUUGAUAGGGUGCUAGUUGGUUGGAAAGCCAAUUCUUCUGAUCAUACAUACUUGGCAAAAGAAAUAGGAGAGUGAAAGGCUCUGAGUUUUACAAUAUUGUAACUUGCUUGGGUCAACCUUUCAUAGCCAAGAGGACCUUCCUUAGAAGAGUUUGGUGUUUACAGUUGACCUGACGAAACGCCUUAUCUCAAGAAAAUUUGUCACCUAUGGAUCAACGCCGGAACAGUCAACGAUGGACCUGGAAAACCAAACCAUCCCUGAUAAAGAAUCAAGAAUCUGACGCAACACGCAAGGACGGGCGCGAAAAAACAUUGACUAUGGAAAUCAGAGUUGGUGAUUUAAGGCCAAAGAUUGGAAGUUAUUUCAUGUGGUAUGCUUUAGGAGGAGGAGAAGCAUUCUAAGAAGGACUUAGUCGCAACGAUUCAAUUGAUAAAUUGAUGAACAUAUACUUGAAACAGACUUUGAUAUUUUGAUCUUAAUAACUUACGAAUUUGUCGAUAAAAUCUUCACUAAAUUGUGA